GACGAACGCUGGCGGCGUGCUUAACACAUGCAAGUCGAACGAUGAACCCGGAGCUUGCUCCGGCGGAUUAGUGGCGAACGGGUGAGUAACACGUGAGUAACCUGCCCUUGACUCUGGGAUAACUGCGGGAAACUGUAGCUAAUACCGGAUACGACCCUCGGCGGCAUCGCCAGGGGGUGGAAAGAAUUUGGGGCAAGGAUGGACCCGCGGCCUAUCAGCUAGUUGGUGAGGUAACGGCUCACCAAGGGGACGACGGGUAGCCGGCCUGAGAGGGUGACCGGCCACACUGGGACUGAGACACGGCCCAGACUCCUACGGGAGGCAGCAGUAGGGAAUAUUGCACAAUGGGCGCAAGCCUGAUGCAGCAACGCCGCGUGAGGGAUGACGGCCUUCGGGUUGUAAACCUCCUUUAGUAGGGAAGAAGCGAAAGUGACGGUACCUGCAGAAAAAGCACCGGCUAACUACGUGCCAGCCGCCGCGGUAA
rnacentral:rRNA from 1 species